CAGUAGCCGCGGUAAUACGGAGGGUGCAAGCGUUAAUCGGAAUUACUGGGUGUAAAGCGUGCGUAGGCGGUUCGUUAAGUCUGUUGUGAAAGCCCCGGGCUCAACCUGGGAAUGGCAAUGGAUACUGGCGAGCUAGAGUGUGUCAGAGGAUGGUGGAAUUCCCGGUGUAGCGGUGAAAUGCGUAGAGAUCGGGAGGAACAUCAGUGGCGAAGGCGGCCAUCUGGGACAACACUGACGCUGAAGCACGAAAGCGUGGGGAGCAAACAGGAUUAGAUACCCCUGUAGUCCCUGUCUCUUAUAA
rnacentral:rRNA from 1 species